rnacentral:lncRNA from 1 species
CAGUUCUUUGGGAGCACCCUGGGAAACAGUGUGGCUAUGACUUGGAGCUGCUCACCAGUUCCAGUCAUUCUGUGGUUGAGAGCUGCUCCCUAUGGAUGUUAAUUCUUCUCUAUUUUAGAUUUUCCACAGGUGUGGGCCCCAUUAGCUCUGGCCACCUGAGAAAGCCCUCAGGCAAAGAGUCGCAGGUGAAAGCCAGCAGUUAGAGGUUCACAGAAAUGAGUGCAGAAGCAUCUUCAGUUGGAGAGCCAUUGCCUCUUGCUGUGAAAUAUUUGGGAAUCUUCAGAAACCAUGAAGAAUAACCUGCUAAAGCUGAGCUGGGACUCUGCCUGGAUAUAACUUAUGGCCUAUUCUAUAUGGAAAGUUGGUUUUCUCACAGUUCCACUCCCUUUCCAGAUAUCAGCAAAUGGCCCUCCUAGCCCAGAAGUCUCCAGAGAGGCCACCAAGUUCUAUUGAACAUCAUGAAUCCUAUGCUCAAGUGAGAUCAGCUCAAGUGAGACCAGAUAUCUGAAGACCUUUUCAUUUUCGCCACCCUCAAAUGAAGGCAUGCAAGAUUGUUCCUGUAGAGACAAUAGAUGCUGUAAUGCAGAAAUUGAGAGACGGUAUCAAUAGAUAUUAUGGGAACUCACUAAAUUCAGACUGUACAGGAAAAGAAUGUUUCAGAAGAGUAAAAGACUAUUUUGGAAUGAA